ensembl:lncRNA
AUAAUUUAAAAUAAAAUUAAUAUGACUAAGUGAUAGAGACUGGAAAAUAGAGAUUGUAUCCAAAUAAUAAUGCUGCACAAUCAUGCCACAGAUUAACAAGUAAAAAUUUACUUGCUAAUUCUGUAUUUGUUGAAACAAGAACUUCAGUAAUCUAUACUAUAGACUUUUGGUGAAUAUACUCAGGCAAUAUACCAGGAAUGGUUGUGAUUGAUAAUUUACACAUAGUUUUGUCACAUUUAAAUAAGUAGUUUUAAGGAGGUUGUUAAAUUUAUACAGCCUGUCUUUGCUUAAGUUGUGGACUUAAGUCACUGCUUGCCAGUUACCUGGUAAGUGUGACUUGACUUUGAAGAUAGCUACUUCCAAAUGCUUUAAAGAGUUCCUGAUUUAUGAGAUAUUGAACCUGCUAAGCUGAUGAACUCACUAGGUAAUUUUGAGUGUGAUAAUGAACAAAUGGGCCUUUGAGCUAUAGCCUGAAUUAAAAUCAGAAAGGAAGUGUGUCAGUAGCUAGUGUACUGAAGUUGUCUAACCUGAAUUCCUGUUGCUGGUUUUAAAUGAACCGAGUGGUCUUGUCAACACCAAUGUGACAACAACUUUCCAGACCAGAGCUAAGAAAUGGUAUGUACACUAUUAUAGGCAUGCGUAUACUACAAAUUCAAAGUUUUAGUCAUUUUGUUUAUGAAUUCAUUAAUAAAUAGGAGAGGAUGUAAUCUGAAAAAUGAUGAGACUCCAUAAUCUUCCAGGAUAGCAAGUUAGCAAUUAGGGCUUGCUUUGUCAUUGAAUCCCAUACCUAGCUGUGGUAAGCAAAAUCACCACGCUCCAGCGUAAAGCUCCUGUUCUCUUCCUUUCCACUACUACUGAAAAGCAUUUCCACGAAUGACAAUUACAACCACUAAUAGCCUCUUGUGUUAGUUGGCUAAGAUGAAAAAGCUGCUAAAUUAGUCAUCACCUUUCCCCACAAUGUCCUGAAUAAGGUUGUUCCAGUGCUGUUAAUACAUCUUUUGCUCUUGCUGCAGUGGAGGUGGUGGAGCCUCAUGUCUCGUGCAGUUUGCACUGGUAUGCUGGUAUUGGCUGAGGUAGAGUUAAUUUUUCUUUACAGUAGCUGGUAUGGGGCUAGUUUUUGGAUUUGUGCUGAAAACAAUGUUGAUAACACAGGUAUCUUACUGAGUCAAGGUCUUUUCCGCUUCUCACCCCACCCCAACAGCAAGUAGGCGGGGGGUGCACAAGAGGUUGGGAGGGAACACAGCUGGGACAGCUGACCCCAACUGACCCAAGGGGUAUCUCAUACUAUCAUGCUCAGCAAUAAAGAAGGAAGGUUGGCAGGGGGAGGCUGCUGCUGGCUAAGUGGCUGGGCUUCAGUCGUUUGGUGGUGAGCAAUUUUCAUUUGCAUCACUUGUCUUUCUUUUUAUUUAUCUCUCUUUGUUAUUUCCCUUUUCAUUACAAUAUAUUAUUAUUGCUAUUAUCAUUAUUUUAUUUCAAUUAUUAAACUCUUCUUCUCUCAACCCACGAGUUUUCUCACUUUUACCCUUCCAAUUCUCUCCCCCAUCCUGCUGGCAGAGAAGGGGGAGUGAAUGAUGUGUGGUGGUGCUUAGUUGCCAUCUGGGGUUAAACCAUGAGAAGGGGUAAAACCAUCUUGUUGCUCAGCCAUCCUGUGCCUUUCUCACCAUCUAGCACCGGUGAAGGCUAAGCUGCUUUAAACACCCAGUCUGUGAACCUAAAAGUUGUGCUGUGUCCUGUUUCUCUUGCUUCAAGUCUAAAGAUCAUCUAUUUCUUUUAAGUUAUUUGAGUAUAUGCAUCACUAGCAGACUGUUUGGGCACAAUGUGAGGUUAUUUACCCAAUUUUUUAAGAGUUUGAGAAUUCUGGUCUCCUCUGAAGCCAUUUUUUUGCCCAGAAUGGAUUAUUCAUCAGACUGCUGAGCUGAUGACCCACUAUUUGCAUGGCUUCCAAACCAUAAUGACAUUUAUCAGCAAUAUGGGAUUCGACUUUAAUCAGAUUUCCUGAAGACCAAUAUGAAUAAACUGCACAUGUGUACAGCUUGUCAUCCUGUAACUGCCUGGUGAGGGAACAUUCCUGUGUGCAUGUGCCUGUUAUCCUAGUAGAGCAGGAAACAAGGAAAUGGUGAAACUGAUUGUGUAGAUGUAGUGCAAUACAGAUAGGACUCUUUUAAGUGUAGUUUCAUCAGAAACAGGAGAGGAACUAAUAGUUUCUGUCAAUCACCUAUGCUAAAAAACUCCUUUGACCUGAGUAUUUUCCAAGUCAGCUUAUGCAAAAUAUUUCUGGUGCCUGAAGUAUGGAUGCUGAAGGCAACUACAGCUUUCUUAACAGUACCUCACACACCCAGCAUGUGGUAUCUUGUCAUUCCACAAGUUUUCUGCAACUAUUUAUUUGAAGAAGUACUUCUACAGAUAACAUUCAUAUGUUAUCUCAACCAAAACAAGCAGUAAAAAUAAGUGCAGAACACAGAAAUGUGGUCCUUUGCUCGCACUGGAGAAACUUUAGAAUUGGCUCACCUAGCCAGGUGUGGCAGGUUUAGUUCUCUCAAAUCCCAUCUACAUCUGUUUCAAGAUCACUUCAGCUAAGCCAGCUUUAAACUGUUCAAGAACUGCUACUUAGGCCAUUACUGCAAUGUAACUCAAAGUGAGGUAAGGAACAUUGGGGAAAAGAAGCACAGAGCAGUUAAAAAGAAACACAUUCUCUAAGGGAGAAGCAUAGGAGUCUGUCUUAUACUAUUUUUAAUUACUAGAGCAUAAAAAUGUCAAAGCAACAAGCUUUUGCCCUUUGUUUUUUUGGUUUUUUUGGUUUUUGGGGUUUUUUUUGUUUCUGUAUUCCUCUGAAUAAAAAAAAUGAAGUUUUGGUUAAAACCAAUCUUAACAUGAGGCCUUAAGACCUUAUAUAUUCUAACUUUAGCAUGGAGAGUCUAUUUUUACAACUACAUUAGAAAUUCUGUGUGUAGGUCUGACUGACCUUGUACAUGUAGUGGUGCGAGCAGCUAAUCAUGCGAUGUCGUAAGGCUCUGUAGAACAGCAGAUGCUGAUUGCUUUUGAUUAUCGGUACAAGGACUCCUGCUCACUGCCUGUGUAGAGAUUCCAUGUAUUUUAUGCUUGGAAAUACAGUCCAGAACAUACGCAAACUGUGAAUAUAUAACCUGAUUUUUCUUUCCUUAAGGAUAAAUAUAUAUAUGAAAAUAGGUAGUGUUUUAUAUAGAAUACAGUACAUAUUUUUAUUGUUGCAUAAAUGCAGAAUAUUUUUUUCAGAGUAGCAAAGCAUUACAGAAUUUUUAAUCUGCUGGAGAAAACACUGUAUGAGCAGUUCUUUCAGCAAAGCUUUCAGGGCAGUAUAUACCCAUUGCCUCUGCCAGCUUCAUUUUGUGCUGAUGUUUAACUUGGGCAUUGCUGUAAAAAGAAAAGAAAAAGCUAUUUUUUCACUCGUACUAGCCCUGAUUGAUUGGUAAAACGCUGAGAGAGGUGAUGAGAAUCUUGUUUCACCACUGGGGCUGGCUCGUAUUGGCAAAAACAACCAACCUACAUCAUAUUGUUGUCUUUGCUCGUUAAAAAUCCUUAAAAAAUCAUACCUGAUACAGUAGAAACAUAAGAUUUUGACAAAUACCAAAAUGAAGCAUUGCAAUUUACAACUUUCUAGCUUUGAGUGUGAUAUUUUUGACAUAAAACAUGACAGGCAUUGGGCUGUUGAAGUGAAUGAAUCUGGCUUUCAUGUAGCUAACCAAAAAUGUCGCUUUUUAUAAAAUCAAAUCAUUGUAAUUUGGGGUUCUAAAUUCCUGGUCACUUUUAAUAACAAGCAUCACGGUAUCCACUUCCAUGAGAGUAUUUAAUACAAAUGCCUGUGGUUUUCAAUGUUACUGACAUACUGUAACAUCAGUAAAGUGACUUUCAAUGACAAAGAAA